AUGUCCGGAGCGGGAGGCAAGUGGAUGGCCUCCUCCGUUACGGAGGGGCACAUCCAGAAGCUGCGCAGCGCCGGAUAUCUGUCUAGCGACAUCGCGCACCGGCUCCCCGACGAGGGAGAGCUCAUCCCCACCACCAGGCUCCAUGAGAGGGUAGUAUUUCUUCCCCAUUUCCUCCGCGGACUGGGCUUCCCACUCCAUCCCUUUGUCCGGGGGCUCAUGUUCUACUACGGCCUGGAUUUCCAUGAUCUGGCCCCAAAUUUUAUCCUCAAUAUCUCGGCGUUUAUCGUCGUGUGUGAGGCCUUCCUCUGCAUUCAGCCCCACUUUGGCUUGUGGCUCAAGACCUUCAGUAUCAAGCCGAAGGUGGUAAAGGGCAGCCAAGCGGAGUGCGGAGGCGCCAUGGUGGGCAAGAUGCCCAACGUUACUUGGCUUGAGGGCACUUUCGUGGAAACCAUUAAGGGGUGGCAAUCGGGGUGGUUCUACAUCACCGAGCCGCGUGACCCUGAAUGGGCAGCGGCCCCCGAAUUUAGAUCUGGCAUCCCCAUAUGGCUCACCUCCUGGAAAGGGAGCGGCCGGACAUGGGGUGAUUCGGAGGAGCUGACUGGACUCCAAGCCUGCAUCAAAAAGCUAGUGAACAAGAAGCUCAAGCUUGUCAACGUAGUCCAGGUCAUGCUUAUCCGCCGGAUUCUCCCGUGCCAACGACGAGGCUUCAGUAUGUGGGAGUUCGAUUCAGCGCAGCACCAGACUUUGAGCGGGCUCUUCGACACUACGUAUGAAGAUGUCUGGAGGGUGCUAUUUAAAGGUGCCGAGGCCCCCGCAUCCGCUACCGAAGAUCGCGGAUUCAGCUCGCAGCGUCCGGCUAGCGAGAUAAGCAAUUUUGCCCUUUACGGGACACUUCUUUUCCAUAGUUUGACUCUAUGCGGGAUCUAUACUCCCUCUCCUUUGACAUGA
rnacentral:rRNA from 1 species